UCCGUUUUCUGUCAGUAGACUAGCAGAGGUGAGCAGCAGCCGGCCUCCCGCUCCCAGCCACUGCGGGCAGCGGGUCGCGGCUCCCUGCCCAGGAGAGGCGAACCACAACAAACCCGACGCGUGCUGGAGGUAGUUCUCCUCUUCCACCUCUCUUUCUCCUCGGUCCCUCCUCCUCUCUCCCUGCUUGCACAUUCGUCCCGCGGCUCCUCCAGCCCUGGACCUUCCAGACUCAAGAUAAUGAAAUCAAGAAGUUUUGGAUCGUUCUUCUUGCUGCUUGAGAUUUAUUUGUCGACUACCCUGGGAUGGAUGCGUUCAGAGACAAGCAGAAGUGUUUCCUCAGAUGUGGGAGGGCUGCAAAAGAAGGAACUUAGAAGCCUUGAAGUAACAAGAAGAAAAGUGUAUUUUGGCCAUGAUAGCCUACAUGCAUCAUGUGAGAGAAAGCACUGUGGUCGAGGGAGUCGUUGUAUUAUAAAUGAAGAGACCCAGAUGCCCGAAUGUCAGUGUUUGGAAGGCUGCAAGUCUAGUUAUAUGCCAAUAUGUGGAUCUGAUGGCAAAUUCUAUGAAAACCACUGUGAGCUCCAUCGGGCCUCAUGUCUGCAGAAAAAGAAAAUCUACAUCAUCCAUAGCAAGGACUGUUUCUUCAAAGGUGACACAUGCACCAUGUCUGACUACAACCGUCUAAAGCACAUCCUCCUAGACCUUGAAGCCCAACGCCAUACCCACAGCAGAGUCCCUGGUCCAGACUCAUCAUCCCAGAAGCAUUUCCUUGUGGAAUCUCUGUUUAAGUACUUAGAUUACAAUGGCAAUGGAUACCUCAGCAGUUCUGAACUGACUCAGCUUAUGAAGGAGGAACCCCUGGAAAAUGACUUUCUCGGCUGUUCACUAGAAGACCUACUCCGAUUUGAUGACUACAACAAUGAUGGUUCCCUCAGUUUGCAGGAGUUCUACACCACCUUUCAAGUAGUUCAUCUGAGUCUUCCUGAGGAGCAGAGGAUCAUUGUUACUACAGUGACCGUUGGGCUCAGCACAGUAUUAACUUGUGGCAUCCAAGGGGCCCUCAGACCACCCAUCAUCUGGGAGCGCAAUGGAAUCACCCUAAACUUCUUAGAUUUGGAAGAUAUCAAUGAUUUUGGAGAAGAUGAUUCCCUCUACAUUACCAAGGUGACAACUAUUCACAUGGGCAAUUACACCUGCCAUGCCUACGGCUAUGAGGACCUGUACCAGACUCACGUCCUUCAGGUGAAUGUGCCUCCUGUCAUCCGUGUUUAUCCGGAAACUCAGGCCCAGGAACCUGGAGUCUCUGCCAGUCUGAAAUGCCAUGCAGAAGGCAUUCCCACCCCAAGAAUUACCUGGCUAAAAAAUGGCAUGGAUGUUGGACCUAAACUGUCUAAGCAGCUCUCACUCAUCGCCAAUGGAAGUGAACUUCACAUCAACAGUGUGCGUUAUGAAGAUACAGGAGCCUACACAUGCAUUGCUAAGAAUGAAGUAGGUGUCGAUGAGGAUAUUUCUUCUCUCUUUAUUGAAGAUUCAGCCAGGAAGACCCUUGCAAACAUACUUUGGCGAGAGGAAGGUCUCAGUGUGGGAAACGUGUUUUACGUCUUUUCGGAUGAUGGGAUCACGAUCAUUCAACCAACUGACUGUGAGAUCAGGAGACACAUCAAGCCCAGUGAAAAGAUUUUUGCAAGCUAUGAAGAAAUAUGCCCUCAGAUGGAAGGAGAACUCACUCAGUCCUGCCAGUGGGCAUCUGCAGUCAACGUCAGGAACCGAUAUAUCUAUGUGUCCCAGCCAGUACUGAGCAGAAUUCUCAUAAUAGAUGUACAAACUCAGAAAGUCCAGCAGGCCAUAGGUGUGGAUUCACUACCAGCUAAGCUGCUCUAUGACAAGUCGCAUGAUCAAGUCUGGGUUCUAAGCUGGGGAAAUAUGCAGAAGUCCCAGCCAAGACUUCAGGUUAUACCUGAAGCAAGUGCAGGUGAACGUCAACAACACAUCAUUCGAGUACCAUAUGAAGGAGUGGAUGAUUUCUUCAUCCCCCCUACAAACCUUGUUAUUAAUCACAUCAGGUUCGGCUUCAUCUUUAACAAGUCAAAUUUGACAGUUCACAAAAUUGACCUUGAAACAAUGAUGCUUGUCAAAACCAUAAGCUUCCAUAACUACAGCUGCAUUCCCCAUGCGAUGGCCUACACCCACUUAGGAGGCUACUUUUUUGUCCAGUGCAAAAAAAAUCAAACCACACUUGCAUCAUCACAGGUAGUGAUUGACAGUGUUACAGACACAGUGAUUGGCCCCAAUGGUGACAUCAAAGGGGCACCACACGUGUCUCCUGAUGGGCACUUCUUGGUCAGCACAGAUGAGGACAGUGGCCGACUCCAAGUGCAGGCCAUAACUACCCGGGGAGAAAUCCAGUUGUUAUAUGACUUACAGACAGAUGUGCACCUCUGUGAUCUGGCAUUUCAGCCAUCUUUUACUGAAAGCAACCAGUACUACAUCUAUGCCACGUCACUUUUCCAAACAGACUUAAUUUUUAUGGAGUUGUCAACAGGGAGGGCGGAUAUGCUGAAGAACUUAAAGGAACCUAUUUUAGCCCAGGACUGGCCAUGGGACAGCAACACAAGGAUUGUGAAAGAUAGUGGAUUAUUUGGACAGUACCUCAUCACGUCAGCCAAGGAGUCUCUGUUUCUCAUCAAUGGGUGGCAAAAAACAUUACGCUGUGAAGUAUCAGGCAUCAAGAGAGGUAACACAGUGGUUUGGGUUGGAGAGGUAUGAACAGGUCUCAAAGCAGAAAAAUGGUGGGACCUUGACACUGCAAUGAAUAAGCAGUAGCAUUGUAUAUUUUUACACUGAUGAAAGAAAAAUUCCUGUAUAAGCUUCGUGGUGCAACACUGGUCUCCUUGCAAAUUUUCUAGUAUAAAGUAUGCUCUGCUAACAAGAAUGGGGUUUCCUAGGGGCUUUUCAUUAGGAAGUAUGAUUUAUGCCUUGAGCUGUGACGAGAACAUAUGCUGCAUAAAGGACUCAUUUUUGUGCCGAGGUACAAGCCACUUGGUGAUGCCAUGAAACUGAAAACUUGUACUUUUCUGGGCUGAUAAACUUGUCACUUGUCCUCAAGUGGUCAGUCUCUUUUCCCUUCUGACUCAGCCCAGCUCCUCUUAACUUUAGGCUUUAAAGCCUAUGGGAAGGAUCCUUAAAAUAGAGGGAGUAUGGAAGAAAUGAAGAAGCUGAUGGAAUAUGGACAUUGAAAUGGAGUGAUCUAAGGAAAUGUGACUAUGUUCUGCCCCAAGUGGUCAUGACUCUUAGAGAGGGCUCUCAGAGCCAAGUGCAGGUGGCAGUGAAACUCUUUCCCUCCUCAAAUUGUAGUAGCUAGGUCCUGAGAUGCUUCUGUGCAUACCCUCUAUGGGGAUUCCUCUAGGUCUCCUCAUCAGGUAUUAUUUUCCCCCUUAGCAUUUGACUUUUUGGUUUUCUUCUUAUUUAUUUCUUAUUUCUGCUGCUGUGGGCCUUAAAACCAGCAUGGCUAGAAUGCCUGUCCCAUCCAUAUCGUAUCUCAGAGGGACAGGGAAUUCCAUUCCCUUGACUUACUGAAAUUAUUAGAAUUGUACACUCUGGUGAACUAGGUCUUUCUAAGGUACAGCAACACUUCUCCAUGCCUUACACCAGAUUCCUGGCAGCCUCAUGGGCAUCCAAAUGCCACACCAUGUAGCCAGCAUGAAGAUGCCCUGGACUGUUACUAGUAGCAAGGACACUCUGUGGAAGUAGCUUUGAAAAACUAUGGUUCUCCACAGAAGAUACACACAUUUUUUGAACACCUCACAGACUGAGUUGCAUAUUUCUGGCAAAUCCAAAGGAUUCAGUUGCCCUUUGUAACUGAAUUGCUGGUGUUUUAAAGUGAAGGUCUUCAUGGCAAGUCUAUUUACGAGCUGAGCAUCUCAUUAUCAAAGAAGGUGCCUAGGCUGGGACUCCUUCAAAAAGAUAAAUGGCAGUAAGAUUGACAUUUCUGUAGGCGUUCUGCUAAGAUGAGUGAGGUGUGACCACGUGCAUAAAGGGCAUGAGGUUAGAUGCUAUAUGUGAUGUGGGUGAGACAACAAUCCUUAAAGCUAUUCUUUGCAAAUUUCCCUUUGGCAAUCCCAUGGAUACAUGGUAAGAUCAUUGAUUCUUAGGGUACCUCUGGAUGACUAAAAUACCUUAUUUUGCUCCAGGUUUAUGUCAUGAUUUGAAACCUCAUGACUUUUAUCAUACCGAUCACAGCGAAACCAGAUACCACGUUAUACAGAUACAGUGUUCUCUCACCCAGAUGCUUAUAGAUGUUUGUUACCUCAUCCUAUGACCCCAAGGAAGUCAGAAUCAAAGAGAUACCAGCUAUCAGUGAUGGGUGAUUUCCUAAAAAUUGCCUCCCUUUGAAGAGAGGCAGGUGAGCAUGAUAAUUAUGAUUUCCAUCAAAGACAAGUCUGGAAUAGUCCUCAAAUGCACUGCUAAGAAAGUGUUGUUGUUAUUGUUGUUGUUGUUAUUGAAAUUCUGUGUAAAGAUCGUAAGUCAAAUGUACUCAGUGAGGAAGGAGAGACCCCUAAGGCUUUCGCCGAAUGUGCAAUUCGUUUAAUGUCAGUGGGAUGAAACUUGCCUACUUUACUCUUUUAGUCUUGAACAAGAAUAUUUGAUCUCAUGAGCCAUAGGAGGUUGAUGAGUCCCUGCCCUCAUUCCUGUGUGGCCAUAAAAGCCUGACCAUGGCCUUCACCUUUGACCGUCUCCUCUGUUCUGCCUCAUCACUGCAAGGAAUCAUGUCUUUCAGGGAAAGGAAGGGAUGGACUUUGUAAGUACUCUUUAAAUAUGCACAAUUCCUUUCUAAACCCCACAUACGUCUAUCCAUUAUCUCUGUUGCCCAGGUGUUAGUGUGCCCCAGCCAUUCUUCUUCCUGUCUCACCUCCUCCUGUAGCCCUGGACUUUAGUGUGUUUACUUAGAAAAGGUUAGUGUGGUCGGGAGAAAACUAGAAAGGACUUUUUGCUCUUUAUUUUUUAUAAAUGUAAAAUUUGUAAAUAUCUGUUGAUGUUGAUAACUUUGAGAAGGGAAGAUUUAUUCUUUGGACGACUUAGAACACAGAUCUCCCUGUUUCUCUUUGUUUAAAGUUUUUGACAGGAUGUCAUUUUUGACUCCAAAGGAUUUUUAUCAUCUUGGGUGUCACUUCUGUGCUGUCACUUUCUCCUCCAAAAGACAAGAGGCUUCCAACCUCCCUCCUUGGGCAAUGUCUUCUAAACAGAAAGAUUUAUGGCAUGACAAAAUGCCUUUUCACUUUACAGGAGGAUACAUUGUAGUAUUCCUUUAAAUGAUGAAUUCCCUUAACACUCUAAAUACAGAUCUGCAUUUAGAAAAGCAACAUGUGUUCACACACAUACACACAUUGCACAUAUACACACAUGCAUACAUUUUCAAGACCACAUCUGUUGUAUAAAGUUAGCUACUUCUGUGUUCACUCUAAAUGGCAGGACAACCAUGAAAUUAGAAGUCUGCUGAAUAAAACCCUGUCACCAAGCUUCACUGAUCUGCUCCCUCAGUUUGGAGUCCUGAGAUGCUGUCCAACCCUGUAGGAAAGGGGCAGGUGUACAGCACGGUGCUGGGUGAUGACAGAAGCCCAAGCACCACGCUGGCAGCAAUGAGCAAAUCUCAUUCUUUACAAAGGGUUCUUUUGGCAAUAAGUGAAGACAACUUCAGAAUACUUUGAUCUAGAGAACAGGACCCUAAGUGUCCCCUACCCUUUCUGCUUCUUCCUUAUGUCAUCUUUCUCAUCUGUCCAGAAAAAAGACUAGUGCUUUAGACACUUGAUGCUCCAUUCUGCACCUGGCAAGAGAAGGGUAGAAACUGGAAAGAUAGGAAGCAGGUAGUGCUCUCUGCAUUCUGACCAUCAUCUCACUGACACUCAUGCCUCGCUAAGAUAGUCCUUCCCUCCUUUAAAGAUAAGCUAUUUUAUAAGGACUCUCAAUUGGUCUGGUCUGGUCACCGAUGUGAAAAAAAAGAAAAAGGAAAAGUUGUUCCCUGCCAGUAGGGCAUUGAAAUUUCCAUCUGGAGUAAUUGAUCCAAGAAUGUAGUGAGCUCUGUGGGCACAUAUAUGUUCUAAGCCAGCCUUCCUAGCAACCUCCCUUGACUAGCCCUGUCAGAGGGUGACCAGAUCACAGAACUACUGACAUAAAGCUGAAAGGGACCUGAUAGGCCAUAUAAUCCAACUCCAUCAAUGAGGAAACUUGAGCCCAAUGAAAUUUAGUUGCCUAAGGUCACACAGGUAAGAGAAUUUGAAACUCUUUCCGUAGUACUGCACUGCCUCCCUCUCCUCUAAGGUCCACAUGAAAAUCCAUUUCUCUUCUUGCCAUUAAGGACUCCUCUUCCCACCCCACACCCCAUAUCCCUGACCUAAGGCUUAGGGACUAUGACUUCUCUGAGCCAAGGAGGGAACUAAAGGAUGAGAAGUACGUAUAGCUUUCCAUCUCCAGACCCCAGGUCCCUGGUCGCAACCUAUGGGCUUCUGCUCUCUGUAUUCUCCAUCUUGGAUUUAUAUUACAUUCGUAAAAAUCUGGUUGCCAUUGAUUUUUAAAAAUGAAUUUUAUUGAUAACUUUGGUUUUUAAUAUUGCAAAAACUUAUCUCACCAUCCUUUUCCCUCCCCCACCCCAGAACCAUUAUAACAAAUAAUAUUUUCAAAGAAAAAAAAAAGAGAAAAAUCAACAAAACUGAUUAAUACAUUGAAAACAUCUGAAAGUAUAUGCAAUAUACUGCACCCAUGGAACUCCCAUCUCUGCAAAGGCACGGGGUGGAGGUGUUCUCUCCUUUCCCUUCUUGGGCUCCAGUGUUUGUUCUUUGAAAUUUCACAAUGUCCUUUUUGUUUCUUUUGACAAUUUUCUUUCUGUUUAGGUUGUAGCCAUUGUCUAUAUUGUUUUCCUGGCUCUGAUUGCUGAAGUAAGCAUCAGAUUAUGUAAAUCUUUUCCAUGUUUCUUUGUAUUCAUCAUAUUUGUCAUUUCUUACUGUAUAGUAAUAUUCCAUUUUAUUCAUGUACCACAGUUGUUCAGUCAUUCCCCAACUGAUGGGCAUUUAUUUUAUCAACAAUUCUUGGCUAUCACCAAAAAGAAGUGCUGUUAUAAAUAUUUUAGUGUCUAUGAGGACUUUCUUCUUACUGACAACCUCUGGGCAGGGAGAGGUCAGUCGUAGUCUACUAGUGGAAUCUCUGGAUUUCAAAAGGUAUGAACAUUUUAGUCACUUUAUUUGCAUAAUUACA